rnacentral:tRNA from 1 species
GGUGAUAUAGUAUAGUGGUUAGUACAAUUCGUUGUGGCUAUCUUCUGCUUAAUUCCGAAUAGACCCAGGUUCGAUUCCUGGUAUCGCCA